AGUGAACACUGGCGGUAGGCCUAACACAUGCCAGUCGAACGGCAGCACAGUAAGAGCUUGCUCUUACGGGUGGCGAGUGGCGGACGGGUGAGGAAUACAUCGGAAUCUACUUUUUCGUGGGUGAUAACGUAGGGAAACUUACGCUAAUACCGCAUACGACCUACGGGUGAAAGCAGGGGAUCUUCUGACCUUGCGCGAUUGAAUGAGCCGAUGUCGGAUUAGCUAGUUGGCGGGGUAAAGGCCCACCAAGGCGACGAUCCGUAGCUGGUCUGAGAGGAUGAUCAGCCACACUGGAACUGAGACACGGUCCAGACUCCUACGGGAGGCAGCAGUGGGGAAUAUUGGACAAUGGGCGCAAGCCUGAUCCAGCCAUACCGCGUGGGUGAAGAAGGCCUUCGGGUUGUAAAGCCCUUUUGUUGGGAAAGAAAAGCAGCAGGUUAAUACCCCGCUGUUCUGACGGUACCCAAAGAAUAAGCACCGGCUAACUUCGUG
rnacentral:rRNA from 1 species